AUCGAUUUCAUUUUCUUUCUAAUUUCAUUGAUUAUAAUGUUUUUUGAUUUCAUUGGUUUAAUCAAAAUUUUAGUCUGAUUCAUCAAUUUUGGGUUUUUAGUUUUGUUUCUAAUUCAUUGAUUUUGGCUUCUAAUUUCAUCGAUGUAUUCUAAUUUUAUGAGUUUUGGUUCUGAUUCAUCGAGAGUUUUGAUUACAUCGAGGUAAUGAAGUUUUAAUUUCAUGUGUUGUGGUUAAUUCAUGAAUUAUGGUUUCGAAAUUUGAGAUUUGUAUAAGUGUGUAACGAUUCUAUCCACAAAUUCUGAUUUUGGAUUGAAUUUGGUUGAUGCUCUCUUCCUUUCCUUUCCUGGGGUUUUCUUCUUCCUUUUAUUUUAUUAAAUUGACCCUGCACUUGGAUUUGUCAAAACCCAUCCUGACCUGAACCAUUCUGACCUGACCUGACCUGUUUCUAAAAUAACCCAUCCUGACCCAAACCAACCCAUCUUAACCCGUCUACCCGCCCGACCCAACCCAUUCAUUUUGCCAAGAGUCCAGAUAACUUUGUCAAUUCAAAAUCCAAAACAGUGUCAAUCCAAAAUCCAAAAUAGUGUCAUUUCGGCACAACAAGAAAGAAAGAAACAGACCAAAACAGUUUCGUUUUCACCACAUACUAAAUAUAUAUAUAUAUAUAUAUAUAGAUAUUCAACUACCAACUACCGAGUCACUCCUUGAUGUUAUACCUAUGAACAUUGAAGGUCCAUAGCUUUCCCUUCUUCGUUUUUUCCGACUUUUCUUCUUCAAGGUUGAAUGUAUCCGGGUUCCCCAAGGGAGAAAGGUUAGCUUCUCCCGCAAUCGUGUCCAUCCCAGGGGAGUAUUUAGCUAGACCGGAGUAAACCGCAACUUGAAUUUCAGGAACUCGAGUCUUGCUGUUGCCGGUCAAGGGCUUGACCGUGGUAAAGAUUCAGAGAGGGUGAUGAGCUUGUUGUCGAUGGAGGAAUGGCUACUUUUGAAGUCAUAGAAAGAAUCGGUAAUGAGUUGCGUUGCAAGUGUACAGACCCUGGUUUACUCUUACCUCGAGCUAAGUUUAGUUUCUGGAGGGACGGGAAACUUGUCGAAAAACAUCAUGAGCUCCCAACAUUCUCUGAAAAGGUUUGAAAGUUUCGAUUAGACCUGGCAAACGGGUUGGGUCGGGUCGGGUCGGGUCAUGGGUCAAAACGGGUUCGGGUCGAAACGGGUCAAUUAUAAAAAAGGGCUGUUUUGGUUUGGGUCGAAACGGGUCCGGGUCAGAACGGGUCCGGGUCGAAACGGGUCCGGGUCAAAACGGGUUUCGGGUCGGGUCGGGUCGGGUCGGUUUUUUUUACAAUACGGCCCGUAAGUACUGAUCCGAUAACCGAGAACCCAUUAUAACACUACUCGAUAUACUACCCUAAAUAUAUACUCGGUUCCGGUUCUUUUGUUUUCGGGCAUAUCGGUCCACGGGUACAAGACCGACCCGGAUCUUCGCUGUUGUACCAAAGGUUCGAAACUAAAACCUUUGGUCUUGUCUCAGUUCCACGCACAUAAAGUUUACAGUCGAAUAAAUGUUCUCAAUAAAACAACUUCAAAUCAAAUUUACAGUACCAUCCAUGCACAUAAAGUGACCAAAAGAUAUUUUUAGUAAAGCCGUACAGAUACAAAGUUUGUAAAGAAUGGUAAUCGAUUCUAGCAGUCACAUCCAGAUGCCCUCUGUUGACUCGUGCUUCCUACGUCAAUGGUAUGAUUGGUAUCCGGCAAGUAUCGUCAAUGGAAGAGAAGGCAAAAGAAAAGGAGCACAAGUGUGAGCAUUGUGGUUGUAGUAAAUCGAACCGUGAAGAUUAUGGGCGUGGCCGAGGUGGAGGUCGGGAGUCCGGGAGAGGUCGAGGAGACGGUCGAUUACAACGAGACACGAGCCGUGUUAAGUGCUACAAGUGCAACCAGAUCGGGCAUUAUAUAUCAGAGUGUCCAAUGUGGGAGAAAAAGGAAGAGCUCAACUUGAACCGAUGUGAAGAUGAUGAACCGACGUUGUUGUGAAGAAAGCGGUACGGACAAACACCGAUUAAGGGCGUGAUUGUUAGGUUUAAUCGGUUGUUUUACAGUUUAAUGGGUCAACUGGGUCAGAAACUUAAUGGUCAAUUGGGCAGCAGCUUAAUGGGUCAAUUGGGCCAGUAGUUAGGGUGUUUUUCACAUGUUUAUUUUAUGUUUUGUUUAGUAAAGUAGUAGGCUUUUAAUUACGGGUCACGUUCUGAGACUUUUAGGGUUAAUGGACGUCGUUUACUGAUCACGAUCAGGUAGUGGGCAAUAGGUCGUAUGUUAGUAUUUAUUUCCAGCAAAGUUUUCACUUGUAAUCGUACCUUUCGAAUUCAAUCAAAUGAAAAGAGUCGAUCAAUAGUUUGAUCAA